rnacentral:rRNA from 1 species
UACGUAGGGCGCGAGCGUUGUCCGGAAUUAUUGGGCGUAAAGAGCUCGUAGGCGGCCGGUUGCGUCUGCUGUGAAAUCCCGGGGCUUAACCCCGGGCGUGCAGUGGAUACGGGCCGGCUGGAGGCAGGCAGGGGAGAAUGGAAUUCCCGGCGUAGCGGUGAAAUGCGCAGAUAUCGGGAGGAACACCGGUGGCGAAGGCGGUUCUCUGGGCCUGUACUGACGCUGAGGAGCGAAAGCGUGGGGAGCGAACAGG